AGAUAAGAUACUUUUUUGAUAGGACUUUUUUUACAUAAUUAUAAUAGUUGAGAAUUUUGAAGGUAUAUAUUUAUAAGAGUAAAAAUAUUAUUUAUUUAACUACUGUUAAAAAAAUAAACAAUACUCUAUACGGUAAUAAAUUAUAGAGACAAAUAUGACUAUCACGAGACUUUUUUAUAAAAAUAAAGUUGAACUUUGUAAAAAUAUAUUUGCUAUUCGAUAUGUUUACAAAGAGUUAUAUAUAAUUAACACUAAUAAUUAAAAAAUUAUAUUGACAGUAAAAUAAAAUUAAACACGUCAU
rnacentral:lncRNA from 1 species